CGACCGYGACCACAGGUCAG
rnacentral:rRNA from 1 species